rnacentral:rRNA from 1 species
UACGUAGGGUGCAGGCGUUAAUCGGGAUUACUGGGCGUAAAGCGUGCGCAGGCGGUUUGCUAAGACAGGUGUGAAAUCCCCGGGCUUAACCUGGGAACUGCGCUUGUAACUGGCAAGCUAGAGUGUGGCAGAGGGGGGUGGAAUUCCACGUGUAGCAGUGAAAUGCGUAGAGAUGUGGAGGAACACCGAUGGCGAAGGCAGCCCCCUGGGCUAACACUGACGCUCAUGCACGAAAGCGUGGGGAGCAAACAGG